UCAGAUUGAACGCUGGCGGCAGGCCUAACACAUGCAAGUCGAGCGGUAACAUUUCUAGCUUGCUAGAAGAUGACGAGCGGCGGACGGGUGAGUAAUACUUGGGGAUCUGCCUGAUGGCGGGGGACAACCACUGGAAACGGUGGCUAAUACCGCAUAAUGCCUACGGGCCAAAGUGUGGGACCUUCGGGCCACAUGCCAUCAGAUGAACCCAAGCGAGAUUAGCUAGUUGGUGAGGUAACGGCUCACCAAGGCGACGAUCUCUAGCUGGUCUGAGAGGAUGAUCAGCCACACUGGGACUGAGACACGGCCCAGACUCCUACGGGAGGCAGCAGUGGGGAAUAUUGGACAAUGGGCGCAAGCCUGAUCCAGCCAUGCCGCGUGUGUGAAGAAGGCCUUCGGGUUGUAAAGCACUUUCAGUGGUGAGGAAGGCCUUGUAGUUAAUAGCUGCAAGGAUUGACGUUAGCCACAGAAGAAGCACCGGCUAACUCCGUGCCAGCAGCCGCGGUAAUACGGAGGGUGCGAGCGUUAAUCGGAAUUACUGGGCGUAAAGCGCACGUAGGCGGUUUGUUAAGCAAGAUGUGAAAGCCCAGGGCUCAACCUUGGAAUAGCAUUUUGAACUGGCAAGCUAGAGUUUUGAAGAGGGUGGUAGAAUUUCCAG
rnacentral:rRNA from 1 species